rnacentral:rRNA from 1 species
CGGUUGAUCCUGCCGGACCCGACUGCUAUUUGGGUGAGGAUAAGCCAUGCGAGUUGAAUGGGAUACCUAAAUUUCCCAUAGCAAACUGCUUAGUAACACAUGAUCAACUUGCCCUAUGGAGAAAAAUAACCUCGGGAAACUGAGGAUAAUGUUUCAUAGUUGAAAAGGCUUGGAAAAGUUUUUCAAUGAAAGGGAUAAGUCAAAUGGGACUUAUUUGCCAUAGGAUAGGAUCGUGGUCGAUUAUGGUAGUUGGUGAGAUAACGGCUCACCAAGCCGAUAAUCGAUAGGGGCCGUGAGAGCGGGAGCCCCAAGAUGGGUACUGAGACAGCGACCCAGGCCUUACGAGGCGCAGCAGGCGCGAGACCUCCGCAAUACACGAAAGUGUGACGGGGUUACCCAAAGUGUUCUCUUUAGAACUGUGGUAGGUGAGUAAUGUCCCCUACUAGAAAGGAGAGGGCAAGGCUGGUGCCAGCCGCCGCGGUAAAACCAGCUCUUCAAGUGGUCGGGAUAAUUAUUGGGCUUAAAGUGUCCGUAGCCGGUUUAGUUAGUUCCUGGUAAAAUCGGGUAGCUUAACUAUCUGCAUGCUAGGAAUACUGCUAUACUAGAGGGCGGGAGAAGUCUGAGGUACUACAGGGGUAGGGGUGAAAUCUUAUAAUCCUUGUAGGACCACCAGUGGCGAAGGCUUCAGACUGGAACGCGCCUGACGGUGAGGGACGAAAGCCAGGGGAGCGAACCGGAUUAGAUACGUCGGUGCUAGAAUAAUAAAAUAACUAACACCAUGCUAAAAACCCGGGUAGUCCUGGCCGUAAACGAUGCAUACUAGGUGAUGGUACGGCCAUGAGCCGUAUCAGUGCCGUAGGGAAACCGUUAAGUGUGCCGCCUGGGAAGUACGGUCGCAAGGCUAAAACUUAAAGGAAUUGGCGGGGGAGCAC